rnacentral:rRNA from 2 species
ACGGAAGGCAGCAGUGGGGAAUAUUGCACAAUGGGCGAAAGCCUGAUGCAGCGACGCCGCGUGAGUGAAGAAGUAUCUCGGUAUGUAAAGCUCUAUCAGCAGGGAAGAAAAUGACGGUACCUGACUAAGAAGCCCCGGCUAACUACGUGCCAGCAGCCGCGGUAAUACGUAGGGGGCAAGCGUUAUCCGGAUUUACUGGGUGUAAAGGGAGCGUAGACGGUUUGGCAAGUCUGAAGUGAAAUGCGGGGGCUCAACUCCUGAACUGCUUUGGAAACUGUCGAACUAGAGUGCAGGAGAGGUAAGUGGAAUUCCUAGUGUAGCGGUGAAAUGCGUAGAUAUUAGGAGGAACACCAGUGGCGAAGGCGGCUUACUGGACUGUAACUGACGUUGAGGCUCGAAAGCGUGGGGAGCAAGCAGGAUUAGAUACCCUGGUA